rnacentral:rRNA from 4 species
GCGACCCCAGUCAGGC